AGCGAACGCUGGCGGCAGGCUUAACACAUGCAAGUCGAACGCCCCCUUCGGGGGGAGUGGCAGACGGGUGCGUAACGCGUGGGAGUAUACCUUUUAGUUCGGAAUAACUCAGGGAAACUUGUGCUAAUACCGGAUACGCCCGAGAGGGGAAAGAUUUAUCGCUAAAAGAUUAGCCCGCGUCUGAUUAGCUAGUUGGUGAGGUAAUGGCUCACCAAGGCGACGAUCAGUAGCUGGUCUAAGAGGAUGAUCAGCCACACUGGGACUGAGACACGGCCCAGACUCCUACGGGAGGCAGCAGUGGGGAAUAUUGGACAAUGGGCGCAAGCCUGAUCCAGCCAUGCCGCGUGAGUGAAGAAGGCCUUAGGGUUGUAAAGCUCUUUUGUGUGGGAAGAUAAUGACUGUACCACAAGAAUAAGCCCCGGCUAACUUCGUGCCAGCCGCCGCGGUAA
rnacentral:rRNA from 1 species